GCAGCAGCUCAUUUAUCUGCUCCUUCUCUCUCUGGACGCUGAGACCCAACCGACCCCACACCCAGGUGAAACAAAAGAGUAGCCAGGCGCACCCCACCCCCAGUGGGUAGCUCUUUGUUU